GGUCCAGCCUGCCCAGUGACUCUGUUCAACGGCCGCGGUAUCCUAACCGUGCGAAGGUAGCGUAAUCACUUGUUCUUUAAAUGAGGACUUGUAUGAACGGCACCACGAGGGUUAUACUGUCUCCUUUUUCUAAUCAGUGAAACUAAUCUCCCCGUGAAGAAGCGGGGAUGAAAAUAUAAGACGAGAAGACCCUAUGGAGCUUAAAACAACAUAGCACUUAUCACACAAUUUUUGACUUCCUGAACCCUCAUCACAACAGAUAAUAUGACUAUAAGUUUUUGGUUGGGGUGACCACGGAGCAUAACACAACCUCCAUGUUGAAGGAAUCAAUUUCUAAACUAAGAAUUACGCCUCUAAGAAUCAAUAUCUUGACAUCAAUUGACCCAAUAUAUUUGAUCAACGGACCAAGUUACCCUAGGGAUAACAGCGCAAUCCACUUCAAGAGCUCCUAUCGACAAGUGGGUUUACGACCUCGAUGUUGGAUCAGGGUUUCCCAGUGGUGCAGCCGCUACUAAAGGUUCGUUUGUUCAACGAUUAAAACCCU
rnacentral:rRNA from 1 species